UAAGCCUGUGAAGGUGUGUCGUGAGGCAUGCUGGAGGUAUCAGAAGUGCGAAUGCUGACAUAAGUAACGAUAAAGCGGGUGAAAAGCCCGCUCGCCGGAAGACCAAGGGUUCCUGUCCAACGUUAAUCGGGGCAGGGUGAGUCGACCCCUAAGGCGAGGCCGAAAGGCGUAGUCGAUGGGAAACGGGUUAAUAUUCCCGUACUUGGUGUUACUGCGAAGGGGGGACGGAGAAGGCUAUGUUGGCCGGGCGACGGUUGUCCCGGUUUAAGCGUGUAGGUGUGUGUUCCAGGUAAAUCCGGUUCACUUUAACACUGAGGCGUGACGACGAGGCACUACGGUGCUGAAGCAACAAAUGCCCUGCUUCCAGGAAAAGCCUCUAAGCAUCAGGUAACAUCAAAUCGUACCCCAAACCGACACAGGUGGUCAGGUAGAGAAUACCAAGGCGCUUGAGAGAACUCGGGUGAAGGAACUAGGCAAAAUGGUGCCGUAACUUCGGGAGAAGGCACGCUGACACGUAGGUGAAGUGAUUUACUCAUGGAGCUGAAGUCAGUCGAAGAUACCAGCUGGCUGCAACUGUUUAUUAAAAACACAGCACUGUGCAAACACGAAAGUGGACGUAUACGGUGUGACGCCUGCCCGGUGCCGGAAGGUUAAUUGAUGGGGUCAGCGCAAGCGAAGCUCCUGAUCGAAGCCCCGGUAAACGGCGGCCGUAACUAUAACGGUCCUAAGGUAGCGAAAUUCCUUGUCGGGUAAGUUCCGACCUGCACGAAUGGCGUAAUGAUGGCCAGGCUGUCUCCACCCGAGACUCAGUGAAAUUGAACUCGCUGUGAAGAUGCAGUGUACCCGCGGCAAGACGGAAAGACCCCGUGAACCUUUACUAUAGCUUGACACUGAACAUUGAGCCUUGAUGUGUAGGAUAGGUGGGAGGCUUUGAAGUGUGGACGCCAGUCUGCAUGGAGCCGACCUUGAAAUACCACCCUUUAAUGUUUGAUGUUCUAACGUGGACCCGUGAUCCGGGUUGCGGACAGUGUCUGGUGGGUAGUUUGACUGGGGCGGUCUCCUCCUAAAGAGUAACGGAGGAGCACGA
rnacentral:rRNA from 1 species